UACAGAGGGUGCGAGCGUUGUUCGGAAUUAUUGGGCGUAAAGGGCGCGUAGGCGGGCUGCCAAGUCUGGGGUGAAAUCCUCCGGCUCAACCGGAGAACGGCCUCGGAUACUGGCGGUCUCGAGGGAGGUAGGGGCGUGCGGAACUAAGGGUGGAGCGGUGAAAUGCGUUGAUAUCCUUAGGAACUCCGGUGGCGAAGGCGGCACGCUGGACCUCUUCUGACGCUGAGGCGCGAAAGCCAGGGGAGCAAACGGG
rnacentral:rRNA from 1 species